ACGCUGGCGGCACGCCUAACACAUGCAAGUCGAACGAAGUAGCAAUACUUAGUGGCAGACGGGUGAGUAACAUGUAGGUAUCUGCCCUUUGGCCUGGAAUAACACGAGGAAACUUGUGCUAAUACCGGAUAAGUCUUUACGGAGAAAGCUUUAUGCACCAUUGGAUGAGCCUGCACUUGAUUAGUUUGUUGGUAGGGUAAUGGCCUACCAAGACUGUGAUCAAUAGCUGAUUUGAGAGGAUGAUCAGCCACAUUGGGACUGAGACACGGCCCAAACUCCUACGGGAGGCAGCAGUGGGGAAUCUUGCACAAUGGAGGAAACUCUGAUGCAGCGAUGCCGCGUGAGUGAAGAAGGCCUUUGGGUUGUAAAGCUCUUUCGUCGGGGAAGAAAAUGACUGUACCCGAAUAAGAAGGUCCGGCUAACUUCGUGCCAGCAGCCGCGGUAAUACGAAGGGACCUAGCGUAGUUCGGAAUUACUGGGCUUAAAGAGUUCGUAGGUGGUUGAAAAAGUUGGUGGUGAAAUCCCAGAGCUUAACUCUGGAACUGCCAUCAAAACUUUUCAGCUAGAGUUUGAUAGAGGAAAGCAGAAUUUCUAGUGUAGAGGUGAAAUUCGUAGAUAUUAGAAAGAAUACCAAUUGCGAAGGCAGCUUUCUGGAUCAUUACUGACACUGAGGAACGAAAGCAUGGGUAGCGAAGAGGAUUAGAUACCCUCGUAGUCCAUGCCGUAAACGAUGUGUGUUAGACGUUGGAAAUUUAUUUUCAGUGUCGCAGCGAAAGCGAUAAACACACCGCCUGGGGAGUACGACC
rnacentral:rRNA from 1 species